GACGAACGCUGGCGGCGUGCUUAACACAUGCAAGUCGAACGGUAAGGCCCUUCGGGGUACACGAGUGGCGAACGGGUGAGUAACACGUGGGUGAUCUGCCCUGCACUUCGGGAUAAGCCUGGGAAACUGGGUCUAAUACCGGACAGGACUCCUGGCUUCAUGGUUGGGGGUGGAACGCUUUUGCGGUGUGGGAUGGGCCCGCGGCCUAUCAGCUUGUUGGUGGGGUAAUGGCCUACCAAGGCGACGACGGGUAGCCGGCCUGAGAGGGUGACCGGUCACACUGGGACUGAGAUACGGCCCAGACUCCUACGGGAGGCAGCAGUGGGGAAUAUUGCACAAUGGGCGCAAGCCUGAUGCAGCGACGCCGCGUGAGGGAUGACGGCCUUCGGGUUGUAAACCUCUUUCAGCUAUGACGAAGCGCAAGUGACGGUAGUAGCAGAAGAAGGACCGGCCAACUACGUGCCAGCCGCCGCAGUAACAC
rnacentral:rRNA from 1 species